AUAUGACUCUCGGCAACGGAUAUCUCGGCUCUCGCAUCGAUGAAGAGCGCAGCGAAAUGCGAUACGUGGUGCGAAUUGCAGAAUCCCGUGAACCAUCAAGUCUUUGAACGCAAGUUGCGCCCGAGGCCAAUCGGCUAAGGGCACGUCUGCCUGGGCGUCAAG
rnacentral:rRNA from 1 species